UUCCACGCCUGUCACCCCUAAUCGGCCAUGCCCCCUCCUCUGCUGCCACCUGAAAACAAAAAAGAAGACGACAAAGUGGAAGGUUUUUAAAAGGAAAAAUUGAAGAGAAAAAGGGGAUUCGGGAAAAAAAACAGCAGAGAAAACUCAAAAAAAUCCAAACAACAGCAGCCCAAAAGCCAUCGCCACCGUCGCUCCACUACCCCGCCACCGCAACCACCGCACCACCACCUAGAAGCCAAGGGAAACUAAAACAAAAAAAGAAAAGCAAAACAAAAAACGCAGCAGCAAAAAAAAAAUAAAAGAAAAGUCCAAAAAGAAAAUCUGGCCGUUUUUUCAUCACCACCGUGCCCACCGCCGCGCCUUUGCUUUCCCUCCACCGUCAACACCUACACGCAAUCAAGCAAAUCAACAAGCAAAACGAAAAUAAAAAAGCAAGUAAAAAGAAAAAAAACAACAGCCAAAUAGAAAAAGAAGGGAGAAAAGAAGAAAAGGAAAAGAGGAGAAGACCACCACGCCACCAUCAGCCGUCGCACCAGGCGGAGGAAAUGUCGUCAACGGCGCUAGGAGGCUAGGGUUUGGCCUGAAGAAAAAUAAAAAAUAGAAAGAAAAAAUAAAAGAGAAGAAAGAAAGAAGAAAAAGAAAAAAGAGAAAGAAAAAGAGCAAACCAUUUUCAGCAAACAGCAGGCCACCCAUAGCAGACCACGCCUGUUCCGUCGGCCCAGCAAGCCCACGCCAGCAACCCAGGCCCGCACCCAGCAGCAGACCAGAGACCCAGCAGGCCCGACCCUUGACUUGAUCUGCGCACCAACAGUAGUAGGCCCCAGGCCCAGCGCACCAGAAUCCGGCCCAGCGCCCAAGCCAGAAUCCGACAGC
rnacentral:lncRNA from 1 species